AAUCCCUCUAUUGGGCAGUUGCCUUUUAUUUUAAGGUCAGUACCAUCUGAAUUUUCAAAUUGCAUGCAGACUAAUCAAUGAUUACCUUUUCUCUGCGCUGAAAAUAGCCUUCCUAGUUAAUACAUCACCACCAAACUCAGAGAUUUCUAGCCCGUACUUCAGUGUUUUCCAUUUUAAUCUCAGAGCAGAGAUAACUCUAGAUGUCUUAAAGCUUGCCUGGUCUCUACAAACCUUAUUAGAGAUCAAAAGAAAGAAGACAUGACUUCAUGCAGUCCUGGGCUACGUGUCGCACUGAAAAUACUCCGGAGCAUUCUGCCAUUUAUUGCACGAAAUACAGAAACUUUCUGUGGACAAAGUGGAAGCAAGAGGAUUUCAUUUCCACAUACACACAGGCACACAUACAGCAGACCUACGCAGAGUGACAUUUGAAUAUAACUGACAUACUGAUGGCUAAGGAAAGAAGACAACUAAGCUGGAAGAAUAAUAAACAGAGCGCUGUGAGAGAUGGAAGAGAAGAAAAACAUGGCAAAAAUAAUGAGUCAAAUGAGAGAAAGAUCUGCAGCUCUCUUUUGUAUAUAGUUGCUGUACAUAUACCAACAUGGAAGAAGCCUUCCACAGACUUCUGUCAUCACUCUGUGUGAAAAAGCUCUUUUAAAGGAACAGCUACCAAUAGGCAAGUGAGCCAGAAUACUUUUGUGCAGGAAUGUGCGUUUCUCACAUAGCUCAGGCUACCAAAAGGAAUACAAAUAUUUGCAGGAGUAGAAAAAGAUGCAGAAAGGACAGCGAAUCCUCUCACUGCUGAAACACCCUAAGUAGGAAGCAGUGGAGACUCCAAGGAGAAGAAGAGUCUGGAGAAAUCAGCAACUUAAGAGUAACAGUGAAUGAGAAGAAGAGACUGGGAGAGGGAAGAAAAAGGCCUCUGGAUUUCCACCAGAAUUAAACUGGAGAAAUGGGAGCAGGAGGGGCACAGGAGAAGCAGGUUAAAGAGAUUUUGCUCCUAUCUUCGUCAGCAAAGAGGGAGUAGGAAACAAGACCCAGACAGCAUUUCUCUCAAGUCUGCUGCUCUAGGCAACUGUUUACUUUGCUUUUGCCCAAGAUAGCGUGAGACGUUAUAAAAUGAGUUUCCACAAUGCUCUGAGUCACCAGAAUAUGGAUGAGAUCUGUGGAUUCAAGCCACCUUUCAAGAUUAUGAAUCUCUUCUGAAUAUCCAUUAUGCCAAUGAUACAUAACAAAAUCACUGCUGUAAUGUGAUGCACAUGUCAACUUUAAGGAUACAGUCCCUGCUCAGAUGGCAUCAGCAUAGGGAAACGUCAGCAUGGUGGAUUACCAGAGCAAAUGCUUUAACAUGCAAUGUGAUGCAAUGUGUUUUAACAACAAUUGUUCCCUUAUGUUUGUUUGUGUCAGGUUUGACGUGACUAUCCGCCAGGACAAUGCUCAGGAUUCUGUGUGUUGCAUUGCAGAAACUGAUUAUGUGAUCAAAUGCUUAAAGCACAUAAAAUCACGCCCAAGAUUCGAUGAGAUAUAUAUGCCAGAAAAUUCAGUAGGUGCUUAAAGUAAUUGACGCUAACAGCUAGACCUGGGUUUUUCAAAGGAAUAAGCGUUUUUGUUUGUUUGUUUUUCCUAAUGCAAUAUAAUAUAAACUGCCUAGAAAUUCAGCCUUAGCAUAAUGUUCAGAUCAAAUGAAAUUCACCCGUUAAGAAAGAACAUACACAGGGUCCUCCCUGAAGUGGAAAAGACAGCCUCUGAGUAGAACAGAUACCCUGGGAGACUUCUUACCCUGUGCACAUGCCCAAAAAGACAGCUCUGAAUCUAACUGCAUUGUAGAUCUAACGCUUGUAGGAUUUGGAGGCUCAACACUGAGCUGUAGCUCUCAGCAGCCCUUUUUCCCCAGUCCGUGAAACUCAGAAUCCAGUGGAGACAAAAACCUCUAUAGAAAUACUGUAUAUGUAAAUGGACUUAGAAGAAAAAGGGAGGGGUACCUGCUCUUAAAUUAGUCAUAUUUAAAAUGUAUUCUCAGAACACACUGAACUAUCAAACAGUCCCCAAAGUGAAGAAAUGUGAUUCUCAUUCAAGACUUAAGAGCAAAAGGCAAAACAACUGUGUCCCUUGCUCCAAAGUCAUUAUCUCACAUUAAGACUUCAUCCCGUUCUCCCAGUUCAGAAUUUAGUCUGGUUCUAAUGGCUCACUAGACAGUUUUGCAAGAUCUUCAUGCUCUCAUAGGUAUUUAGGCACUGAAAUCAGUGAGAAGUGGUACCUGUACACUUUCAGAAAUCUGUCUUUAAUUUCAACAUCCCAUAAAUUUUUUUAACAAAAACAUCCUUCAUCUUUUCUGCUUCACAAGUGAGUUGUGAAGCUUAAUUACACAAUGAUUAUGAAGUCCAGCAAAUACAACAUAUAUUAAGAGUACUUAAUGAGAUUUCUGUCACAAGCAGACUCUCUCUUGUAAAAUAUUACUCACACGUUGCAGGAAAAAAACUCAAGAGAAAAAAAUACAGAUGCAUUAAAUAUAAAACAAAUCUAGCUUGAUUACUUCCACAAGUAAUAUGUUAUACAACUCUAUAACAUCUGUCAGGACAGCAUAGAGAAUAGCAUAGGCUUUUCUGAUCAGAAUGGAAUCCUGUCAGCACGGAAUUCUGUCAGCACAUCCAUGUACUCAUUUUUACCUGCAGUGCCCAUCCAAGACAGGGCCUCCAGACCCACACACGAUCUGCUUCCCAUGAGAUCUAGUGGCUUAAAUACCUUCAAAGACCAGACAUGAAGUUCUGUUCCUUCAAAUCACAGAAUCAUGGAAUCAUAAAAUGGCUUGGGUUGGAAGGGACACCCAAGGAUCAUCAAGUUCCAAUCCCUCUGCUGCAGGCAGGGCCACCAACCUGUGGUGGUUGUAAAUAUUUCCCAAAAAGAUGCCAGCAUACUAACCAAUUACCACAUUUAACAGCACAGUGGAAGAUGGCUAGACAACUAUGAGCAGACAGACGAUCAUACAGAAGGCAUUGCUUGCAUACUUAGUGAUUUCUCAGGCCAUAACAAAGCAUACAGCCUAACUAGGGUAGGAGGACUCAAAAGAGGAAGACCAUUCCUUAAGAAUACAGAGCUGUUUGGCACAUUUCUGUGAACAAACAGUGUAGCUGUUAAAAUACAUUUCCUGUUAGCAAUUAUGGCUCAGAGCUCACAGACGCUUUUACAGAACUUGGACAGGAGUGAUUUUCAGUACAUAGUGUCUCUAACAGCAAGUUAUAUUAAUAUUCACCAAAGGAAAACCUGUUUGUUGACCCAAAGUGUGACUGCUUACAAUUCUCUUCUUGUGAAAUUAUUUAGGUCCUGUGGGACAACUGUACUGAGCUUUUGACGCAAAUAUUAAAAUUCUAUUUAAAUGUACAAUGUUUUAAUGCAAAUUUUUACCAUAAAACCAAAUGCUCCAUUCAGUUAAAUUAAUAGAAUUACAAAAAGAUGUAAUGAUAGCAAUUAAGUCUUGAAAAUGCAAAUUUUAUAGUCAAGGACAAUUACCUCAUUUAUAGUAUCCUGGAAUGAUGCCAGAUGAAGGUAAUUUAGAUCUCCCUAGCUCACAGUUAUAUCAUGAAGGAUAUCUUAAUUUCAUUAGUACAACAAAGAUGGGUGAGAACUUGGACAAUAUGAAAAAAAAAAGGGAGGGAGAGAUGGGAGAGAAAAUUUGACCUUUCUCAUUUCACCGCAACUAGAAUACAUAGAUCUUACUAAAGGAUUAGUAAUAUUUCUUUCUAUUCCUAUCUCUGGGGAAAAAAAGGGGGGGGGGGGGCACUUUUUCUUUUCUUUUUUUUUAUUAGCAGCAAUGGAACAUUAGUAUGAAAAAGGUCAACUCCCUUCAGAUUCUUAGAGCCACUAUGCCCACAUCACAACAGUUAUGGACCAUUCCUUAUUUCAGUUUUAAGGAUGAAUACAGCAUUGGCUCUUGGCUGACAGAGUAUCAAGCUAUGGCCUAGGGACACAUGGUUUUGACUCCAAUAUGAUUUAAAAUGUUCUUGAAAAAUUCUUCUUGCUCUUACAAAUACAGCCCCACUUCAUCCAAAGAGGCAAGUCAAAAAUCAUCAGUUUCUCAUUAGCAAGCAAAGAGUGAUCAAGUAGACAAAGAAUACAGAUUGAUAUGCCAUAGAUUCAGUAGUCUCCUUUGAAGGAAAAACAAAACCAAACUCUCAUACAAGUUCUUUAGCACAUUAUCAAGUUCAAAUAGGAGUUUGCAAUACUGCAGAUAUCCCUCUUCCUUUCCUUUCUCUUUGCUGUAGUAGCUACCCUUGACCCUUGAAGAGAUUUCAAAAAAAAAGCAUAUUAAAUAAGGUGCACCAUAAAGUUUAAUUUUAAAACUUUACAACUCUCAAUUUUUCUUCCUGGCCUGUUGUAGCCACUGCAAAGAAACUCAACUUCCAGAAAAAUAGCUGCAUCCACCUAAAAUCUUCUUACAUCAAAUUCCCUUACCAAACCUAACAUGUAGGCUCUGGAGAGAGCGGAAACCUCCAAGGACAGAGUAGCAAACUUCACCUCUCUCCUUAUCUUGAACACAACUAACAAAGAUAACAUGAAAAAGCCUUCCCAAGAGUAGAAAUAUCUGCUUACCGUCAGCAUUUGGUGGUUUUGCUGUAGAUGGUGCAUGCUGAAGCCAUCCCAACCUCCUGCUGACAAACCUUUCCUUAACACCCUGAGAUAGGCAGGUUCUAGAGGAUCGGCUUUAUAACUUCGAACAGCACCACAUAGCGACAGGAAUGCAGCAUUAGAAACCCCCAACACUCCUCAGAAAGGGUUUCUUCCAUCCAGUUAUUCUGUUUUAUGAAAAACAAGCCUUUUCUGAAGGAAAAAGUACCUUAAUUUUUCAUGUCAACGAUGCUAUCAGUCACCUCUGCCGCUUGAAAACAAUGGAUGACACUCUGGCUCAAGGAAAGCCACCUGCUUCCUUUGGGGUUAAGACGUCUUUUGGUGAAUUUCAUCUCCUAUCAAGCAAUAGCAAAAUUAGAGCUUGUACCACUAUUGCCUUCGUUCCGUGCUUUUGAUGCUUAUAAUCCCAUUACACCUGACAACUUAACCUGAGCUUGUUAUUCAUAGACAUGUAUGGUCUGAUGAAACAUUCCCAACUCCUGAAAAAUCUUUUUGUGUGCUGUUGGGAGAUUUGGCCUAAUAAGAAGUGCUUGAGUGGGUGUAGACUGGGUAUGUUUGUACCAUAUUAUACAAUAUGGCUUAAAUUUCCAUGGCAUUUUAUUGGAAAGUGUGAACCUGACAAGCUAAUAGUUUGUGAAUCUGUUGAGUCUCUGCUGUUGCAUGGAGAAAUGUUUUGUCUACGCUAUUCCCAGUAUGCUUCAAUUGUAAAAAAAACAGGCUGCGAUCAUAACACAUCUUCAUGUAAAUCAAAGUAAAUUUCUGCAGGACAAUAUUUACCACUGUUAUGUACCACAGAUCUCCCAAUUCCUCAUUUGACCUAACAGUCGGAAUGAUCUCAGGCCAGCAAUAAGCUGAAUACUGGUUGCUAAGUAAUAUUUAAUUUAAGCAUGAUGUUGUGGUCAACAAAAUGAAUUAGCAUUUUCUGCAUUAAUGAAGAUCCAGGCCUAAAAUCAAAUGAUGAUGUCAAAAAAUUAUGGAAAAUAUUAUUGAUCUAAUUCUUCCUUUUAUUACACUGACAGAGAAACAUGCUUCUUGGAAAUGUUACAUGUGAAGGAAGAAUUUUUCCUAUUGCAUCUUCUUUCAAGAGAUUCAGUUUUCUACUCAGGACUCCAAGAGAGUAAUUUACAUUUGUGAUCACCCAGCCAAUUCAAGGCAACUGUGGAAAGAAACACUAGUAAGAAUUCAUUUUGUUGAUCUUAUCAUAAAUGUGAGAGAGAUUUAACUUUAUCCUAAAUUCCACUAAAACCUAGAAUGCAAUAAAGAAAUAAUCAUACAUGAAUUUGAGUCAGUACUGUUCCUCAUCAUUAGGCCACCUGACAAGCUAGAAAGCAACUUCGCUAGUGCAUAUUCAUUCCAAAUUAAUACAGUAAUUCUGAAAACUGUUUCUUUUUUCCCCUACUUUUAUGCAUUUAUUGCUUUAUUUCUCUAUUGCUAUUUCCAGUCCAUAAUGCAAUGCAGCUUGUGGAAUGUAAUCCCCUUUCUUCUCCUGACCAAACUCCACUCUGAAUGCUGCAUGGAUGGGAUCCUUUCUUUUCUGUUUUUUUAAUGUUUUUCUUCUCACUUUACAUAUUCUCAAAAAUGAGAUGAAUUUCUGAUUAUUUUCCAUUUUCCCCACUUUAUGAAUAUUAGAGUGGUUUUCUUUUGCAAUGUGGCUUGGCCUGCAUUUCAAAGUCCACAUUUUGAGUGGUUCCCUGUGAUUUUUGGACACUUGGCAUUUUCUGGGUCCAACUCAGAGAACUGUUUGAUUUUCAAAUAUUCAGAGCAUUCUCAAAGCCUGUUAAGUACAGACAAUACUUUCAGUGUUCUUUAGGUCCUUUAGGCUUAUUUUUUCAUUAACCCAAAACUGAGGUAAAAAAAAUCCUGUGUUCUAUGAAUUCCACAGUGUUGUGCAGAGAAGGGCAGUGGGAAAACUGAGUUAAAUGCAGGAUUCAAGUUUUUCUGACUCUUGCACAACUUGUUGUCUAAUGGACCCCAUAGGCUCUCAGCAAUACCAGCUGUCUCUAAAAUUCAACCAACAGUGGAAAUGACUACCGCUGUUCUGUCCAUGGAAAGCAUGAAAAGGUUAUUUAAAAAAAAAAAAAAAGAGUGGCUUGCUUAGAUAUCACACAAAUGUAUUUGCUUUUUUUUUACUUAGUGAAAAGGCUGUAUUAUAAAAGUAAACUUUUCAAAACAGAAAAAGUAGGUAUCAAAUACAGGAAAGAAACAAAAAGACUAUAAAGUAAUCUUUACAAAAGCAGAUUGCACUGACACUGUCUUGCUCACAGUAACACACAAAGUAAUUUCAUAAAACCCAGCUUUUAUCUUGUUCUAAUAAAACAUCAAGCUAGCAACAUUAUGGUGAGGGCUUUCAUUUUCUUUUCGAUAUAGAUUCUGAUUGGAAGUAUUAGCUGAUGCAGCAGGAUAAAUAAAGAAAUGCCUAGAUUGUUAUGGUUCCCAAAGGUCAUUUUUAUGAAAAGAUCAGGAAAUAUGUUUCAUUGAAAUUAAAAGUAAAGCCAUAUCAAGUUUAAUAACAUUGUUACCAUAAUGACAUAAAAUUCAGUGAGAUGGUGUAAUGUUUAAUAUUUGACUGUCAAGCCUCUGCAGUGAAGCUGUGUGAAAGCAUUUAAACUUCUAAAACUGAAUUUCCUUUCAGUUUUAUUGCUGUUUUAUACCCAUCUCCUUUUUUUCCUUGCCGUAAUAUUCUGUGUUUCUUUGUUGAAUUUGAUGUUAUCAGUAAAAUACAAUAAAAACUCGUGGAGGGACACGUCUCUGUUCCAUAGAAGACUUAGCAAGGCUAGGCAUCCCCAGAUGACCAAAGGCUGUCUGUGCCAAAUCAUUUUUUCCAUCAAGUAAGAACCCCAGCAGUGUUGUAGGGCAUGGCAAGAGGGACGCUGUCAGGGCACAGCUACCCUCUGGGUUUUCUCAGUUGUGGCACUGUCAGAGGUGGAUUAAUAUGAGAAGCUGUAUCAGCCCUCAGCGAUUCUGGGAAAGGUCUGGCAUAAUGCCACUGUUCCCGGGUCUGCAUUCACAUAAACAAUUGUAAAGACGACUGAAGCCAGCAACUGCGAAGCCUGAGUGGUCUCUGGCUUUGUACAGCCUUUUGUUGGACACUGUGCUGAGUGCUAGGAUCAGAGAAUUGAAAAGUUUACAGCUUGGCACAGCUCUGCAAAAUUCUGAUUUUCAGAUAAAUAAACAAAACCCUGUCUCCAUCCAUGGGACCAAAAUUAUUCAAUACACUAAACAACAAGUAACAUUCUGGAAACAAAUUCUUUCUUUAAAAUGCAAGCUUGGUUUAGCACAUUUUCCCAGGAUGAAUUUCACCAGUUUAGCUUAAGAGUUGUUCAGUCUCAUCAGUGUAAAAAACAAGUAGCUGUGAACAUUCCUGAAACACUUACUUGGAGAUUCUCAUAAAGGAAAGAUCUGAGUGCCCGAACCACCAGAGUCCAUACAACCAUAGAACUGCUUGAGUUGGAAGGGACCCUUAAAGUCCAUCUUGUCCAACCCCCCUGCAAUGAACAGGGACACCUACAGCCACAUCAGGGUGCUCCCCUUUAGAUACUGAAAGGCUACUAUCAGGUCUUCCUGGAUAUUUCUCUUCUGCAGGCUGAACAGCCCUGGCUGUAAUACAGCUAAAUAUUCUGAUGGUUUUACCUCAUAGUUUUCCAUCAGCUUUGUUGCUGAUAGAGGAUGCAAAGAUUGAGGAUUUAAGCUUGCUGUAUUUGUUCUCUUUGUCUUUUUGCCAGACUGGCUGUGAUGAGCAGGUACUGGAUAUGCAGUUUGGUCUGUUGCAGCUGUUCUAGUACAUAAUCUGAUUCAAAAACAGGGAAUAUUUGGAGACUCUUAUUGGUAAAUACUGCUACUAUGGAUUUUAUAAGUACUGCAGAUGUGCCCUUGCCACCUUUGAUCUAGUAACAUGGUGCUUCUUACUAUGUGGACAAAUAGCUCUGAAUGUACAACUCAAAGAUUUGCCACUCUCCAUGAACAAGCUUCACUUUCUGCCAUUUGUGCCUGAGGUUAUUAUUUGAGCUGUGUGGAUCAUUCCUUACGAAAAUUAGAACUGUGAGCUAUUUAGCUGGACUUAUCUUUUCUAUAAAGGUGAAACUAAAUAGGUCUGACACAAAAUAGCUGUGGAAUGAGAGAUUCUGAUUCUCCUUGGAGCUUGUUUUAUACAAAGACCAUCUUAAAUUGCAUGUUUGCUAAUUCCUCUGUCUUAAAGACCUCAAGGAAGGCAGAAAGUAUGAUACAUCUACAUGAGUUGUACCCAGCUCUAGGCUGAUAGAGACUUUAGGCAGUAUUAAAACUGCCAUCGAUUCCAAAUCCCUAUCUUUGGGUCACAAUAAGACCAAUGAAGGUCUGCACAUGGGCCUUAACACACCUAUGUUGCUGCUAUCUUGUCUCGUGAAGCAUGACAUCCUUCUUAUAGAUUCACUGAAUCAACAUGUAAACUUCUCUAAUAAAAAUGGAAAUAAGAAUUUAUUUCUGCAUUUUAGUUUUUCUUUGCAUUUUCUGGAAGCAGUGCAAUAUAAUUCAGAUGCAGUGUGAGAAAGGCACUAUGAAAUCAUAAAUAAAGGACUCCAGUAUUCCUUUAUGAAAAAUCUUUUAACAUAAUAAAUUAAUAAUUAUUACUUCUACGGGGUUUUAUUUUGUUGUUGGUGGUGGUGUUUGGUGUUUUUUGUUGUUUGGUUCUUUUGAAGAAUCCUGUAAACCUUAACAGGAAAUUACAUGUCCAGUGCAAAAGUGUAUGAGAAGAGUCAAGAAAUCUAUGUCAUGGCUGUCAUUCUUCUUUCAAGACUAUUAACCUGAAAUCCUGGCUUCACUGCAUCUUAGCACUAAUUUCAGCAAAAAGUCAGACGUUCACUCCAUCAUGCUUUAGAAGCAACUGUCACUGUGUUAAAUUCUGCUCCUUCUUUCCCAUUCUCUUUUCCUGCUUGUCAGGUAAGUGUCUAUAAAUGUCAUGAGGCCAAAAUAAACUGGCGUGUGGAAAGACAGAUGUCUAGGAACAAGAAGGCAGAAUUCUUUGGUAAGACCAGGUAGAAGUAGAUAGGGCAAAGGGUUUGAUGAAAAAGUUGAUGAAGGUUUGGAAAUUGAUGAGAAUUCUACAUCUCAAGCCAAAAUGCAGGGGUUAAAGUGUUGCAGAAUUAUUUGGUCUUCAGUGAGAAAAAUGGUUCUGCUAAGUAGUUAUACAAAUGUACUAUUUAGUCAUUCACCACAAGAAAGUGUCAGGUUUUACUGUUACAGAGCAAAGAGGGACUACAGAGGAACAUACUGCUUUCCUUAGCCUUGCUCUCCUUCUGGAUGCAAUGUUUUGUGUUACAACAUCUUGAAAACUUUUCAGUCAGAGAAAGGAGCAGCCCUGCAGCAAUGAAAGAGCAGGUGAUGGACUAAUAAUAGGAUCUCUUGUUUAUUUCCUCUUCUUUUAUUGAUGAUCAGCCUGUGGUGUGUUGAGCUGGAAGGCAGAAAAAAAAAAAGGCCAGGUCUCACAUUAGCAAGGAGUCCUCCAGCUGUUAAAGGUAAAAGUCAUCCUGGGUGAGGUCAGUCUCUCACAGUGACUCAAACGGACAGUCUUGCUUGUGUCAGCAGAAGCUCAGCUACCAUCACAGCUGCACAAACGUGGGCACUGCUUCUUCAACUAACUGCCUGGAGAUUAGACAGGUUGCUGCACGUAGGGAAGGCAGAAAGAACUCUGGUAGGAUGAACACAGGUUGGAGUGUCGGAGUGAACACUGUGAGCCCUUCCUGUUCAAGGUUACAAGAGAAGGAGGGGCCACAUUCUGAACGUGGCAGGGCUAGGCAUGUAUGGAAAAGCCUGGGAAGCAGCAAGUCUUUUUUCCUAGUUCAAAGGCCUAACCAAGCUGUUCUAGGCACCAUGAGCAUGAGCUGGGAGAGCCCAACAAGUCACUGCCAGUGCUCUGCUGCCUGGCACCAAGGCUGCUUUUUGCUUUCAGAUGCUCUGUUGUUUCUCGUUUGUAUAACACCAGUCCUUGCCAGGUGCUCCUGGGGUCUAUUUUAAGGCAAAUAAAAAUGUUUUGUCUUUCAAAAUAUCUGUGAGAUCUCUGGGGAAAACGUACUGAAAUUUUGGUUUCCAGAAACUCUCACAGAAAGUCUGAAAAUUCAAAACACUGAGAGAAAUUUGGGUUUUGAAUCCUUGAAAGCAUGCAAUCUUACAGUGGUCCUAGCAAUUAAAGCACUGGCAGCUGAUUUCCCAUAGAAACAGAAGUGCCAGAUAUCAUGCCAGAGGUUCAUUUACUGAGCUGAUCCACUGUGGGCAGAAGCUCAAUGUUCCUGCAAUGGUCCUUAGGGCAAAACAAUUCCCUCAAAAAAGAGAAGAUGAUUCAGAAUUAUUUCACUGAAAACACACCUGGUAUUUUCUGGGUCUACUCUAGCAAGGAAACAAAUCUACAAUAAAACAAGCAUAAAACAAUGGAUAAGACACUGCUGAAUGUUUGGUCCCGUGGACAAGACAGGAGAUAAUGCAGAUCGUUGAUACUGAAUAAACAUCAAACUCUAAGCUGCACUCACUUGCCAUGUUCUGUUUUCUUGAUUAAAUCGAGUUGUUUUUGUUGAGAGGAAGAUAUAGCAAGCUGACAGCCAUACCGCCCUACCUUGCACACAACUCUACAGUAUAGAACUUAGUGUGUUUACAGUCAAUGUUCGCUAAAUCUGAGUUGCCAGGUGAAAUCAUUGCAUUUGCCUGUUUCCUUGUCUAAUGAAAAAAAUGCUUGUGAUAGCACUUGAGGUCACAACAGCACUUGGCUAAUGCAGUGAUGAUUUAAAAAACAAACAAACCAAAAAAAAAAACCAACCAUAAUUUUUUUCUGGAUUUGUUACAUGUGGGAUUUAAAGGCAGUUGCUGUACAGUGCCUGGAAACCUGAUUCACCUGAGUCACAAUUCAUCCAAUACAUCACGAUAACAACAUGUCUGAGGGAUGGGAGGCCAUCCAGAGAGAUCUAGACAGGCUUGAGCAGUGGGUCCAGGUGAACCUCAUAAGGUUCGACAAAUCCAAAUGCAUGGUCCGGCACCUGGAUCAUGGCAAUCCCCGCUAUAAAUACAAGCUGAGGUACUAGAAGAUAGAGCACGGCCCUGUUGAGAAAGACUUGGGGGUACUGGUGGAUGGCAAGCUGGACAUGAGCCAGCAAUGUGCCUUCUCAGCCGAGAAAGCCAGCUGUAUCCUGGGCUGCAUCAAAAGAAGCAUAGCCAGCAGGUCAAGGGACAUGAUCCUUUCCACCUCUAAGACCUCACCUGGAGCACUCCAUCCAGAUGUGGAAUUCUCAGUACAGGAGAGUCAUGGACCUGUUGGAGCGCAUCCAGAGGAGGGCCACAAAAAUGAUCCAAGGGGUGGAACACCUCCCCUGUGAGCACAGGCUGAGAGAGCUGAGGCUGUUCAGCCUGGAGAAGAGAAGGCUCUGGGGAGACUUCAUAGUGGCCUUUCAGUAUCUAAAGUGGGAGUGUAAGAAGGAAAGGGACAGACUCCUUAGCAGAAUCUGUUGUGACAGGACAAGGGGAAAUGGUUCCAAACCAAUAGAGGGGAGAUUUAGACUGGAUAUAGGGAAGAAGCUAUUUACUGUAAGGAUGGUAUGGAUGUCCUGUCCCUGGAAACACUCAAGGUCAGGCUGAAGCAAUCUGAUGUAGCUGCAGAUAUCCCUGUUUAUUGCAGGGGAGUUGAACUACGUGAGCAUUAAGGGUCUCUUCCAACUCAGAUUAUUCCUUGAUAAUUUAUCAAGGAAGUCUGAGGGCUUGGACAGGGUGUUGAUGAGACACUGAAGUAUGUGGACACCAUUACUUACUAUAUUAUGUCCUCAAGGAGUGGUGUGGAGGGAAUGGCUGCCCUUACCCCAUGGUACAGGAGCUUUUUAUCUGCAUCUCCCAGGAUCCAAAGAGAAGCCCCACUCCUUGAUCACUGAAGAUCAAAUUGAGCUAUUUACCUUCUCAAGUGUUAACAUGCAUUGGUGGCAUAUGCUUCCAAGGCUUUCUUUUGCUUGGUUUUGUUGUAUACAUGUGGAUAAUGCCAGAUAAGAUUUUGGCGCUAAGAAGGUUUCACUGAGUGCUUCUCUUUUCACCUCAUUUUGGUCUCUCCUUCUUUAAUGACCAGUGAAUUACAGUCAAUUAAAGGUGACUGAUAGGAACUGCAGGGAAUACACUCAUAAAGAAUUAUGAAAAAUAGCCAUGUACCUUGUGACCAGCGUAUACAAAUUACAUCAUAAGCAGGAAGUAGUUAUGGUUGAUUGGAGCAAUUAAAUGUUUUCUUUAAGAAAGGAAAAAAACCCUCCAGUGAGAAUAUUUUAGAAAAUGGCUUUUUAAUCAUCUGUAGAACUGCUAGAAUGUCUGUCUUCUAAUAGUUUUAAAGUGUUCCUUAGUUAGAAUUAGCUGUUAUUCUACAGAAUAGCCAAAUACUUCCCCAGGAACCUGCUUACAUGAAAGUUUAUUUUUAAUCACAAGAUCACAUCCAAAAAAAUUUACAUAGGCCAAAGGAGACCAGAGAAGAUUUGAGCACCUGUCCCCGGUGUAUAAACAGCUACAAAUUUGGGAGCCAUUGCACAGGAGAGAAUACUUUCUACAAUGAUUCAGGAAGACAUGCACACAGCAAGAUUCACCACUCAAAUAAGAAGCAUUAACGCUGACAGAAAAAUCAGGUGUUUCCAGCAGUAUCAGAUGCAUACUAACCAGCAUCCUGCCACAUUAAUCAACCAGCUAAUGCCUUCAGACUUGGCUGGUUCAUCAUCUAUCCUCAUCCCUGUAGACACCACUAGUUCCGCAUGGGCAAGGACACAUUUUGGGAGGGGAAGGACCAUGGCAGCAUGCUGUGGAAGAGCAGUCUCUGCCUAGCAGUGUGGUGAGCUGCAUAUGAGCCACAUGGGCAGAUGACAAGGGACAGCUUGGUGGUGCCCGUGCAAGCCAAUGGGGGAGCUUCUGCGCGUAACAUGCCUCAGCAGUCCACUUUUGCCUGCCCGUGGAUGGGAAUGCUGCUGGUCUGCACAGCCUGGGCAUAGGCAGCGGGGGCAGUGCUGGCAGUGUGUACCAGCACCCAGCACACCAGAUGAGAGCAUGCGAAUUGGAAACUGGCUAUUAUAGACAAUAGCCCUAAAAAUCAUCCUCUUGGUACAGAGAGAACACAUGCCUGAUACUCUACCAAUUGCCUAGCUUAACACUGAGGAUACAGCUCAGGAUGUCAUAUAUGUUCACACCUUCUUUCAAGGAGACUCAUGAUGCUGGAAAAGGGUGAAAAGGCUGUAAACAGUGUUCUUUGGUCAAAGAAACCCAGAACAUGUUUCAUAUAAUAAGGUUAUUUUUACUAUUUUUUAAUCUCAGCAGAAAAUUCAUUAUAUUCCUCCUUUUUCUCUCAGCUUCGACUGUGUGUCCCCUUUGUGCUUGCAAAACAAAGGUUAUUUUUUACUCACCUGUAUAAAAUGCUCGAAGAACUCCAGAUGAUUGAAGAUAUAAAAGUCAAAGGAAAUAUGUAUAUAUGCAUGUUUAUAUAUAAUUGUUGUUACUGUUGCAGUCUGCGAGAAAAACAAAAAUUAUUCCUAGCAGAGCGUCAGGUUUUUAUUUAUUUAUUUUUUUAUGACUUUGGAAGCUUUUUAAUAGCUAGUGAUCAGAUGAAACAACUGCUCUUGAAAUCAAUGAGAACUGGAUUACGUGCUGGAGAAGAGAAAGCUUCAGGAGAAAAUGUUUACAUUACUGUUAUCUUAGAUAAUCACCAUUUCUGCCUAUGUCUUCCAGAAAAACUCAUUUUGUAUCUCUGAAAAAUAUGUAAUGAUUUCAAGAUCAUUUCAGAGGCCAAACACACUAGAAAUUCAAAUCCAUGAUCUAAAUGCUUACAAAAAGUGUCUCAGAUCAGUAAAAACAAGCUGAAGAGAAUGAGAAGAUACUCUUUGAUUAUCUAACCUCCUUGACUGCAGUACGUUUAUUCUGUUUUCUUCUUACCGUUUUCUUCUUCUUGAGGAUUUGAAAUUACUUCUCUUUGAAUGUAGAGGAUAUAAAUUAAUCAAUAAAGUCAAUAGUAGCGCUUAUAAACAUAGCUUAAAUAUAUAUCUGUGUGUCCUACGCUACAAAAGAUAGCAGCAACUGAAGCAAUUUCCUCCAUGGCCUAAAUCCUAACUACCAUCUAGUUCCAGGAAAGCUAGUACAGCAUUUGCUGUUUCACACGGAUGCCAUAAAACAAACAUACCAUUAAAAUGAACACUGACACAUUUAUAGUCGUACAGCUUGGCUCUUCGCUGUGACGUUGCCCUUGAAGUGUUGAUGUCAUACCAAAAUUGCACCUCCUCCUACAGUGUAAAUUAUUCUGUAAUUCCAUGGUUCUGUGAUAGCACUACUGUGCCCACCAGUACUACAAUGGACUCGUUAACAGCUGAGCCUUUCCUUACCACUACAGCCUCAUGAACUGCCUCUCUGCUGCUCUUC
ensembl:lncRNA